rnacentral:tRNA from 1 species
GGGGGAGUAACUCAGGGGUCAGAGUAAUCGGCUCAUAACCGAUGAGUCGCAGGUUCAAAUCCUGCCUCCCCCA